UGGCUCAGAUUGAACGCUGGCGGCAGGCCUAACACAUGCAAGUCGAACGGUAACAGGAAGCAGCUUGCUGCUUUGCUGACGAGUGGCGGACGGGUGAGUAAUGUCUGGGAAACUGCCUGAUGGAGGGGGAUAACUACUGGAAACGGUGGCUAAUACCGCAUAACGUCGCAAGACCAAAGAGGGGGACCUUCGGGCCUCUUGCCAUCAGAUGUGCCCAGAUGGGAUUAGCUAGUUGGUGAGGUAACGGCUCACCAAGGCGACGAUCCCUAGCUGGUCUGAGAGGAUGACCAGCCACACUGGAACUGAGACACGGUCCAGACUCCUACGGGAGGCAGCAGUGGGGAAUAUUGCACAAUGGGCGCAAGCCUGAUGCAGCCAUGCCGCGUGUAUGAAGAAGGCCUUCGGGUUGUAAAGUACUUUCAGCGGGGAGGAAGGUGUUGUGGUUAAUAACCACAGCAAUUGACGUUACCCGCAGAAGAAGCACCGGCUAACUCCGUGCCAGCAGCCGCGGUAAUACGGAGGGUGCAAGCGUUAAUCGGAAUUACUGGGCGUAAAGCGCACGCAGGCGGUCUGUCAAGUCGGAUGUGAAAUCCCCGGGCUCAACCUGGGAACUGCAUUCGAAACUGGCAGGCUUGAGUCUUGUAGAGGGGGGUAGAAUUCCAGGUGUAGCGGUGAAAUGCGUAGAGAUCUGGAGGAAUACCGGUGGCGAAGGCGGCCCCCUGGACAAAGACUGACGCUCAGGUGCGAAAGCGUGGGGAGCAAACAGGAUUAGAUACCCUGGUAGUCCACGCCGUAAACGAUGUCUACUUGGAGGUUGUGCCCUUGAGGCGUGGCUUCCGGAGCUAACGCGUUAAGUAGACCGCCUGGGGAGUACGGCCGCAAGGUUAAAACUCAAAUGAAUUGACGGGGGCCCGCACAAGCGGUGGAGCAUGUGGUUUAAUUCGAUGCAACGCGAAGAACCUUACCUGGUCUUGACAUCCACAGAACUUUCCAGAGAUGGAUUGGUGCCUUCGGGAACCGUGAGACAGGUGCUGCAUGGCUGUCGUCAGCUCGUGUUGUG
rnacentral:rRNA from 1 species